rnacentral:pre_miRNA from 1 species
UGUUAAAAUUUUCAUCCAUUUGUACUGUUAAAAACUUGUGUGACUAACAGAAUAACUAAACAAUAACAUGUGAUGUACCAUAUGUACCUCAUGUUGAUGUAAAAUAAUUAGUUUUUAACAGAAAAAUAAUUUUAGUGUUUAAUC